rnacentral:snoRNA from 1 species
UCAAAAAGUUUUUAAUGAAUGAAAUCACAAGAAAUUCCUCUAGAUAAUCAAGUUCUGAUUGAG